rnacentral:rRNA from 1 species
GAUCAUGGCGUCAGGAUGAACGCUGGNGCGUAGCUUAACACGAUGCAAGUCGAACGAAGCACUUUAUUACGAUUUCUUCGGAAUGACGAUUUGGUGACUGAGUGGCGGACGGGUGAGUAACGCGUGGGUAACCUGCCUUAUACAGGGGGAUAACAGUUGAAACGGCUGCUAAUACCGCAUAAGCGCACAGGGUCGCAUGACCUGGUGUGAAAAACUCCGGUGGUAUGAGAUGGACCCGCGUUGGAUUAGCUGGUUGGUGAGGUAACGGCCCACCAAGGCGACGAUCCAUAGCCGACCUGAGAGGGUGACCGGCCACAUUGGGACUGAGACACGGCCCAAACUCCUACGGGAGGCAGCAGUGGGGAAUAUUGCACAAUGGGCGAAAGCCUGAUGCAGCGACGCCGCGUGAGCGAAGAAGUAUUUCGGUAUGUAAAGCUCUAUCAGCAGGGAAGAUAAUGACGGUACCUGACUAAGAAGCACCGGCUAAAUACGUG